rnacentral:rRNA from 1 species
GACGAACGCUGGCGGCGUGCCUAAUACAUGCAAGUAGAACGCUGAAGAGAGGAGCUUGCUCUUCUUGGAUGAGUUGCGAACGGGUGAGUAACGCGUAGGUAACCUGCCUUGUAGCGGGGGAUAACUAUUGGAAACGAUAGCUAAUACCGCAUAACAAUGGAUGACCCAUGUCAUUUAUUUGAAAGGGGCAAAUGCUCCACUACAAGAUGGACCUGCGUUGUAUUAGCUAGUAGGUGAGGUAACGGCUCACCUAGGCGACGAUACAUAGCCGACCUGAGAGGGUGAUCGGCCACACUGGGACUGAGACACGGCCCAGACUCCUACGGGAGGCAGCAGUAGGGAAUCUUCGGCAAUGGGGGCAACCCUGACCGAGCAACGCCGCGUGAGUGAAGAAGGUUUUCGGAUCGUAAAGCUCUGUUGUAAGUCAAGAACGAGUGUGAGAGUGGAAAGCUCACACUGUGACGGUAGCUUACCAGAAAGGGACGGCUAACUACGUGCCAGCAGCCGCGGUAAUACGUAGGUCCCGAGCGUUGUCCGGAUUUAUUGGGCGUAAAGCGAGCGCAGGCGGUUUGAUAAGUCUGAAGUUAAAGGCUGUGGCUCAACCAUAGUUCGCUUUGGAAACUGUCAAACUUGAGUGCAGAAGGGGAGAGUGGAAUUCCAUGUGUAGCGGUGAAAUGCGUAGAUAUAUGGAGGAACACCGGUGGCGAAAGCGGCUCUCUGGUCUGUAACUGACGCUGAGGCUCGAAAGCGUGGGGAGCGAACAGG